rnacentral:rRNA from 1 species
GACACUUUUCAAGCAGCAGACCAUUCUUCUGCCCCGAAUACAUUAGCAUGGGAUAAUGGAAUAGGACCCUGUCCUCCUAUUUUGCGUGUUGGUUUUCGAGGACCGGGUAAUGAUUAAUAGGGAUAGUUGGGGGCAUUAAUAUUUAAUUGUCAGAGGUGAAAUUCUUGGAUUUAUGAAAGAUUGACUUCUGCGAAAGCAUCUGCCAAGGAUGUUUUCAUUAAUCAAGAACGAAAGUUAGGGGAUCGAAGACGAUCAGAUACCGUCGUAGUCUUAACCAUAAACGAUGCCGACCAGCGAUUAGGAGACGUUGAAUACAAAACACCACCGUCGGGUCGGCCGUCCUUGGCCGUCGUGCGCGGCGACGCGCGCGGCGGCGAGGGCGGUGUCUGCCCGACGGCCCGGUGAAUGACUCCCCUAGCAGCUUGUGG